UGUACAGCGAACAGUUGGCAGUGCAGUUCUUCUGUCUGACUAAUUCCAGUCAAAACAAUCUUCUGCCUGGUGGCGGAGGGGACUUUGGAAUGGGAUGGCACUUGGAGUUAGGAGGUUGAGCUCAAGUGCUGCUUUAAAUGCUGAGUCCUGCGGUGGGGGGAUUAGGAGGAUACGGUUCAGCAUUGUUCCGAUGGGACGCCGUGGGGGCUUUCCCUCCAGUGCUCAGCUCUCCUGGCCAGCCGGAGGCUGUGUAAUGAGGACGCUGUAAUGCUGGCAGACACCAGAGGCAUCUGAGGUGUCUGUGGAAAUGGAUUUGUGACCCACAGGAGCGCUCCUCCUUGGAGUUAAAUAAAGGGCAUGAGCCUGUGGAGGUCCCCCGCACUAAAUUCCAGCCAUGGCUGCUUGCUUACCUCUGCAGGCGGGCAUAAAGGACAAAAAUCUCAGAAGUGUGUGGAAUUCGUGGCUGUGUUUACUGCAAGGUUUUUCCUUAGCUUGUUGUCACCCACCUGGAAGAGCUCACUGCCCAAGUUCAUGAGACCCAGCCCAGGUACCACAUAAACCAAGGAGCCGGACCACAGCCCAGAGCAUGGCGGGGAUGCAGAGGACCAGAGCCGAGUAGUAGCCUGAGGCCAGACAGAACACAACCCGGGCAUGUAUUUCCAAAGACAGAAAUGUGCACACUGUCUUCAGGAGCCAGUGCAAACUCACACUUGAAUGUUACCGAUUGCUUAAGACCACACACAUGGCCUGCCAUCCACGCACACAUUGACAUGUCCACAUGUGAAUAUCAUACAUGUCUACACGAGCAGUUUACUACCUGCAUGAUCACACGCCAGCUUUCUUCCUACACUGCUUGCUCUUGUCCUGGCCAUGAGCACAUGAUUUUGUGCUGUGCGAAGACAGAAAGGACCAUUGAAAAAUGCACUGUUGUAAUCUGGGCAUACACAGUUCAGCUGUUUCCACUCAGUGGAAAUUAGCGACAUUAUUCCUAUAUUUCAUUUAUUAGGUUCUGCAGAAACAUGCCAGCAGCCCUGGUCUGAAGCAGCUGCCAGAGCCCUCAGACACCCGCCUCUUGCCAGAAGGCUCCCUCAGGGCGACGGGGCAGCUGGCAGUGGCACUGGUGAGGCGCCUGGGAGAGGCGCAUCCUGGGGCUGCUGCUUGGAGCUAGGGCAUGGCAGCUGACUGCUCGGUGACAUUUGAUGGCUUCCUUCAGCUGCCAGCAGCACAGACUUCCUGCAGAGUCCUGACAUAGCAAAGAAGCCCGCUGGCUCCUCGGCAGAGUUGCGCAGGCCGCGUGAGCAGGAGAGAGGUGAUGCCUACAUGUGUUUCGUUGACGUCGGGCCUGUGACUGUGCCCAAAUACACUGCGGACCGGGUGAUGUGGGAGUCGCUAGGAUCCCCAGAAACAGUACAGAUGAGUGAGGCAGAGCCCAGCCUUCUCCUUUGGGGCAAACUCCAGAGGGCUUCAAGGCUGCCCCCGAGCCCGGCCUCCCUGUUUUGCAGGAGGAGAUGCUGUGUUGGGUCUGAGGGUCGAUGCACAGUGGUGCGCUGGUGUUAGGGAGGGAGGGAAGGAAGCCUUGGCAAAUGGACACCAUCUCAGCCUGCAGAGGAGGAGUAACGCUGGGGAUGUGCUCAUCAGCCAGAAGUUAUCCCUGGCUGAGGGACGGAAAGUGUUCCUGUUCCUCUUCACUUAACUGGAAAAAUGAGAUUUAUUAUUAUUCUCGUAUCAUUACUGUGGCUUUGUUGGGCUUGAUGUUGUACACAAAGUGCCUGUAUAAACUGUGAUUCCACUGCAAUUGUUUACUUACUGUUAACUGAAAUGCUGUCACCAUACUAAAGUUUAGGGAACUCUUAACUCUCAGUGCGCUCAUUUUAGAUAGAAAUAUCACUUGCAUGGAAAUAAAAAGAUAAAUAUUUAUUUCAACGAAAA